GGAGAGAUGCCUGAGUGGCCGAAAGGACACGCUUGGAAAGCGUGCGUACAGCAAUGUACCAUGGGUUCGAAUCCCAUUCUCUCCGCCA
rnacentral:tRNA from 1 species